UUUUUUUUAAAAUUCGAUUUGAUGUUGAUUUCAUCAGAUUUGAUGGUUUACUUUUGAAAUUCUUUGUUGUCGGGUUCUAUUCAAAGUCAGGUGGUGAAUUGAGAGGAAUGUCUGACAGGAUGGUCUCCUCCCUCGAGAACCUGCAAAAUCCAGGCAACAUCUCUCACCUCGCGCAAGGAGAGGCUACCGAGACUGACAAGAUACUCAUGGGCCCUCUCAGCUUCAGUGUUGAUCAGCUGAUGGUUGGUUGUCCAAUUGCUUUGUGGUUGUGUAUUGUCUUUGGUUUUUUUUUUUAAUGGCUCUGAUUUACUUAUGGGUUUGUGAUUGCAGGAGUUGACAGGCUUAAGCAUGGUAAUGUCAAUAGUAGAGAUACAAAAUGAAGAAGGCAAGGUAAUAACUCCCAACUAUGCUCUUAUUUAUGAAGACAAUGAAGGAGAUCGAAUGCAUGUCGGCAAUGUGCCAUGGGAGUAUGUCUAUUACAUUUGAUUUUGCAUUUCUGUUGUUGCAAACUUCUUUAGAAAGUAGAAAUCAACUAUUGUUUCUAGCUUUUGAUGCAUUGAUUAUGUAAAAAAAUCAACAUUGUAGGGUAAUCCAGUUUUAAAUUUUGUCAAUAUCCAUUGACGAGGCAUGGAUAUUGUAGUGCUCUUAUUAUUGUUAGAUUUGUUAGAUCUAGAUAUUCAUUGGAGUUUCAGCUUCGCUCCUUUAACAUGAUUGAAGGCGGUCUUUAGAAAAUCUAAAGCUUGUUCUUCAAUGGGUUUCCUUUUUUUUUUUUUUCUAUUAUUGAGAGCAUCAUUGACAUGAAAGGGUGGAUUGGUUGCUGAAAAUAGGUUCUUGGAGGAACAUUAGGAGAGUUGCUUACACUUUGGGUAGGUUUUUGCAUAGUGAGUAAGUGCUUUUGAGGUCAAAUCUUAGAGAUGCAUCAACUGUGGUGGGGGUGUUUUUGCCCUAACCUUGGCUCAAAUCUUGGGAUGUUUAUACCUUAAUUAGGCCUUUUUUAGGGGUUUUUCUUUUGCUGGGUUUUAUUUUUUCUGUAAAAUGAAGUAGAUCUGGUUUGAUUCUCGUGUUCUUCUACCCUCAUAGCUCUGAUCUGGUUGAAAUGUUAAGGUUUUGAAUGUUGAUUAUAGAUUUGGUUUAUGAUUUUUUUUUCCUUUCAGCCAGAAGAUUUGAUUGUAAGAACUCUUGGCCAAAAAUAGAAAAUACCUUCAUGGGCAGCCACCUUAGGCAAUUAUGUCAUACUGCGCCUUGUGUUAUAAUCAAGGUCUUUUGCAUGGGAACUUCUUCUUUAGUUUUGUUGCAAGCAAGAUCACCUUUCUUGGUAUUUUACAUUUUUUCUAGCAACUCUGAUAAGGUUCAUUAUGUAUUUUGCAUUUUUUCUAGUAACUCACAUGUUCUUGGUUGAUGAGACUAGAGAGCAGAAAAUUCUAAAUAGGAGAUUUGUAGGAAAGCUUUGAAGUCUAAAGAUUAAAAACUG